GCGCGUGGUGCUCAGAUCCUCUGGACGCAUGCGCGCAGUUACCCAGUCCUGCCUCGUGUGAGCGCCCAGACCCUGCGGUGAGGAGGUGCGUGUCCUGCGGUGCCGGAGGAGCGAGUCUUCUGGGAGUAGACCAGAAGAAUACCAUCCUUAGACCUGGGAAGUAGGGACUCCUGCCCUGGGGGCUGUAUUUCAGAGGCCUCCAAUCUGGCCCUUCUCUGGCCACAACUCUUCCCAUGAAGCAAGAAAACCUCAGCAUCAAGGAGAUGCGUCUCCCCUCUUCUAGACCAUGGGCCUGCUUCUCUUCUCAUACCCUGGGCCCACCUUAGGACCUACAUGAGCAGCAUUCUCAGAAUAUCCUCUCAAGGAACAAAGGUGCAUAAUCAGCUGCCUGCUGGUAUUCUGGGGAAAAAAUGUCCUUGGCUCCUUCUAGAUUUUACUUCAAGAGUAUUGAGAAACCCAAUGAGAUAAACCCAUGUUAUCAUCAUCAUGAGAAGAGAACUUCAAAGCCAUGGAAUCUAGAAAUAAAAUCAAUGGAUGACAUGACAGAAGAGGAAGGAGGUGUGUGGAACUGAUAAACCAACACCAUAGGUACACUUUAACCUUAAUUUAUAAUCCCAUAUUUUCUUGGGCUCCCUGCCUUUAAAAAUAGCCAUACAGUCUUUAAUUCUACCAGGUGCUUUUAGUUUUUCUUUUUUUUCCUAAGUUUUAUUUAUUUUUGGGAGAGAGAGUCAGAGAGACAGAGCAUGAGCAGGGGAGGGGCAGAGAAAGAGGGAGAUACAGAAUCCAAAGCAGGCUCCAAGCUCCAGGCUCUGAGCUGUCAAGCACAGAGCCCCACCACAAACUGUGAGAUCAUGACCUGAGCCAAAGUUGGACACUUAAUCAAGUGAGCCAUUCAGGCGCCUCUACCAGAUGCUUUUAAUGUGUUCCUUUGAUAACUGUUUAGUUUUACAGUUAUUAAAACAUUUAUUGAAACUUAAUUUUUUGAUGUGUGCUGAGAGAUAAUCAUCUAGGAGUAACACUUGGCAUCAUAUUUUAGAAGGCUGGAGAAGAAUUGGACUAAUAGUAGCUGGAAGAGAGCCUGAACCAUCCUAUACCUGUAUCACAGGUUUUUUUAAUGGGCCGUUUGGAUGUCCUGAAGGAAAACUAGAGCAUAAGCCAUUUUUGUUAACAAUGCUACAAGUUCUAAAUUAUUUUUCUGGAUAUGAUUGCAUUGCUUAGGAUGAAUUUUGAACACCAGCCAUAGGAAAUAUGCCCUGCACCUACCCUUCUUGAGAAAGGUUUGUUAUUCAUAGGUCACCAUGCUUUAUACCACGUGACUUCACCCCUCUGACCAGAACAGACCAGAAUACCACCCAUGGGCUGGCCAGGGUCUGGGUCGUGGUUCAUACUGAGAGCUCUCUGCCAGACUUGUAUUACCUAUAGGGUGAUGACAGCCCAGGAUAGUCUGAUCUGCUCCAAGGAAUUAUCAAAACCAAAGAUAAAAAGAGACUCUAGAGUUAGAUAGAAAUCAACCAAAGUCUGCUUCUGAGGAUGUGAUUAGUAAUAGAGUUGCUGUUGAAACCUGACAGCUUGUGUCACAAUAAUGAAGCCAUGUAAGUACCUGAAUUGUUAUUUAUUUCCUUCUAAGUCUAUUCACAUUAGUUCUUACCUCUUUUUGGUUUCCUUACAUCCUCAUGUAUUUGCCCCUAUUUACCCCAUUUACUGAAGCAACUUGAGUGUGCACUUAUCUUAUACCAGGUAAGUGAGCCUAAGUAAUGUAGUCUUCAGGGGGCAGAGGUCAGGAAGCAAUAGAGUGAUAUUGGCCUGUUGACAGCACUUCCCCCUCACCAUGCAGAACCUAAUAGUUGGUUCUAUUAAAACUCAAGAAUGUGCUAGAACAAACAGGACCACAUGUUUCAGAGUGGCUUUUAGUUCUUUGCUUAUGGAUUUUGGCCCCAUUAAGAAUGAACUGGAAACAAGGAGAUGACUAUGUUUGGGAAGCUCUAUUCAGGAAUUAAAUAAGGCCCCUCAUGAUACGUAAGCCAAAACGGCAGAAUUGGUGUAAAAUGCCUGCCAGCAUUGUGAGCAUGUCACAAAUGACAGAAACUAGAGCCAUGAAGAGAUUUACCCAUAUAAGUAGAUGCACUACUUCUGUGCACUUUGACAUUUCAAAGAUAGUAGUUAACUUAUUUUUUAUCUUUUCCAUAAUGGGUUUAUGUCAUCAUUUAAAAUGAUAGUAUUAUAAUACAUGGCAAUCUUUCACAAUAAGAUAUUUCUUCAAACAAAUAGCAAAUUUGAGCAAUUUGAAAGGAAGGAAGGAAAGACAAAAGGAUAGAAAGAAGGAAAAAAUCUGGAUUCUUAAAUAAAUUAUUCAGCUAAUGAACUCCAAUGAUAUGUUUAAAAUGGUUCAAAUGUUAAAUCUGGUAUCUGAAUGUAGGCAUUGACCUUCAUGAACAGUCUAUAAAAUGUAUGGGACAGAGGAACAUGCAUGUGAACUGAAAUCACCUGAACCCUAAACUCUCAAACUUUUCUGUUGCUUAUGUCUGAGGUGUUUUUAGGAAUGUCAAAUGGAUUCUCAAGGUAGAUGAUAGAUAGAUAGAUAGAUAGAUAGAUAGAUAGAUAGAUAGAUAGGGAGGGAAGGGAGAAAAGAAAGAAGGAAAGAAGAUCAAGGCUAGUAAAUUAUAUUCCACUACUACACAGAAGUUAGUGAAAAUAUUAGACAUCUUUCAAAUUCUUUGAAAAGAUAAAAUCCAGGGUAGUAUUAUUGGUUUUUAGACAGAAUGUAGAAUUAUAGAGUUAAUUUCAUUUGGCUAGUGUUCUAGCAAACUUAGCCAAUAGGAGAAUAAACAGACCUCAGUUGCCAAGAUUUAUGUCAAAGGAUCAUAGAUGACUGAAUCAGGAGGUUUCACACCUGAUUUGAACUCCAAAUCAGUUCAUUAAUGUAAACUGUAAAUCAAAAGCCAUAGCCCUGGGGCUUGGUGAUAAGGCAAACUGACAUAUAAGCCAGAAGGACUUCACAACAAAUAGACCAAAAUUGGAAACAGAACAAACCAUAAAGUGCAUGUCACUAGGCAUAGAGACAGCUGGCUUAGAGCUAGAAAUCAGGACAAAUAGGCAUAGAGCCAAAAGUUGAUGCCAGAAAUGGGAUAUAGACUUCUGACUUUGCCCAGUGGUUAAGCUCCAUAAUACUCGAUAAAUAUUUACCUAACUGACUGAAUGAGUGAAUGUUAAUAAGCAGUCAUCCCCUCGCCAAUGAAAUAAGGGGCUUCUGCACUGAAAGUCAGGCUUUCAGGGUAGCUGGGUGGCUCGCUCGAUUAAGCAUUGAACUCUUGAUUUCAACUCAGGUCAUGCUCUCACAGUUGUGAGAUUGAGCCCUGCACUGGGCUCCAUGCUGAACUGAGUGUGGACCCUGAUUAAAAGUCUCUCCAUCUCUCUCUGCCCAUCCUGUGUGCACAUAUGUGCUCUCUCACUCUCUCUUUCAAAAAAAAAGUUGGCUUUCAAUUUAAAGUACAUAUAAUUAAUGAAGGAGGAUAUUCAAUUCAAUAAUAACCAAUGAUAAUAAUGCUACUAAUAAUAGUGGUAAUGAUACAUAGGUACUAUUUAUUAAGCACUUAUUACACAGCAGAUACAAUGAGUGACUUAUAUAUAUUAUCACACAUUAUCUGUAUUAAAAUUCUCUGAAAUAGUUGUUACUAUUAUCACCCCAUUUCUGCAGGCCUGGAGAGAUUUAGACAUCUCCCCAGAGUCACCAGGCUACUAUGUGGCAGGUCCUAAAUUACAUUGAGGCAUGACUGCUUUUAAAAUUUAGA